UGAAAUGUGAUAAAGAUAGUUCUUGAGCCCAGAGGAGCUGUAUGGUGGAUUCUAUUUGUAAACAAUGACGAUGACAGCUCUCAUAAUGCUAUUUGUUAUGAAAGAACACGCUCUCAACCAAAGUGCCAUCACAACAGACACCUACAUCCAGAGGUGUGCUUCUGCAACAGAGUGCACACUUCCUUCGCAUCCUGGAAGCUGAGGAUUUGCAUUAUCUCGGAGCUCUGUGCCAGGAUCUGCUAUGGGUUACCUGCCUGGCAUUAUGAUAUUCUCAGAACUGCGUUUUCACUUUUUAUUGCACCUGAGAGAUCUUGUUACUCAGUACCUAUUGUGCAUGCAUCGCAUUUUCAUCAGUAUUAGUUUUCCUUAUUUAUGUGAUCACAUGCAAGACAUAAGAGGGGGCAUAAGAACUGAACUCUGCACCAGGAAAGCCCUGCUGCCAGCAUUCCAGCAUGACCCUCUCUGAGGUGAAAAAAGCAGGGACAGAGCCCCUUGGCAGCUCUUCACAAAAGCCCCCAGUGAAUGGAGAAGCAUUAUUGUGUUACCCCAGGCUGACAGUAGCUCUCUGAGUUUACCCAGGCCCAAAAUAAAUGGAGCUGAUGACAGACUGACUUCUGAUUU
rnacentral:lncRNA from 1 species